rnacentral:rRNA from 1 species
AACGAACGCUGGCGGCAGGCCUAACACAUGCAAGUCGAGCGAGGUAGCAAUGCCUAGCGGCGGACGGGUGAGUAACGCGUGGGAACGUGCCCUUUGCUUCGGAAUAGCCCCCGGGAAACUGGGAGUAAUACCGAAUGUGCCCUUCGGGGGAAAGAUUUAUCGGCAAAGGAUCGGCCCGCGUUGGAUUAGGUAGUUGGUGGGGUAAUGGCCUACCAAGCCGACGAUCCAUAGCUGGUUUGAGAGGAUGAUCAGCCACACUGGGACUGAGACACGGCCCAGACUCCUACGGGAGCAGCAGUGGG